rnacentral:RNase_P_RNA from 1 species
GGCGCUGGAAGAGACUGUCGCUCCGCGCUCUCGCGGAGAGGAAAGUCCGGACGCCACCAGGGAAGCGGGCCGUGGGAAACCGCGGGCUCGAGCGGGCGAAAGCUGUUCGGGACGGAAAGUGUCACAGAGAAAAGACCGCCGCAUCGCAGGAUGCGGCAAGGGUGAAACGGCGGGGUAAGAGCCCACCGCUCGGCACCGGCAACGGCCGAGGCACGAUAAACCCCCCGCGGCGCAAGGCCAAACAGAGGUGCCGGCUCCCUGGCCGCCCGAAAGCUCGGGCGCUACCGCGCCGAGCAUUCGGGCACACCUCGGGUUGGGCCGCACCGCGACGGCUUGCCGUCGCGGACUGAUCGCCGUAGCGCGAUGGGUAGAGAAAUGACGGUCGCCUGGAAGGGGUAAUUUCCAGGAACAGAAUCCGGCUUAUCUUCCAGCGCCGAUU